GCCUUCGUGGUGUAGUGGUCAGCACACUCGACGCGUAUUCGAGAGGUCGAGUGGUUCGAGUCCCAGCGAACGCA
rnacentral:tRNA from 1 species